GGCAAUUAGGAAGAAAAUUGGAUUUUUCAGCGUCCAGAGGCAGCUGGGAGCUUCAGUGUGCGGUGCAGCAGACACCCUCCCUUCCAACACGCAGGCACCCAGCCCCAGACAGGCAGGGGCUCCCCGGGAGAGGGGAGGAUUGGGGGACAGACCUCUUUCAGGAAGAUAGUAAAUGUAGAACCAGCCCUGAGCAGGGCAGAGAAUUCAGCCCACUGUGGCCUGGAGCACUCAGGUGCCCCUUCAGUACCAUCCAGAGGAUAAAAAUGCCAGCAGGUGGGGACUUGGCCCCUGGAGGCCUGGCCAGUGGGCAGGCAGAACCUGACCAGGCCUGAGGCUGGGUACUGCAGAGAGCCCAGCAGCAAGAAGGGGCCCUAGGGCAAGAGCAGCUUUCCUGAUCAGAAAGCCAGAACCAAGAUCCCAUUUCCCCAGAGGGAAACACUGCCAAAGCCCAUGACCCUGUCACAUGGGGCUACUAAUCAUGGUCACCUCUGCCUGGCAGCUCAGACCAGACCUGGGAGGAAGCUCGGGCUCCCUGAACUGGAGAACUGUGGAUGAUACAGAGCCCCCCUCCCACCUCCUCACUCCAGCCUCUAUCCAUCCCUUAGUUCCCUGAGAGGCCUAAGUACCUCCCUUUCCCCUACCUCAUUUACCUCCCAUGGGCCCUGCAGGGGUAUGUCUUCGGCCAUGCUGUAGAUGAGGACAUGAAAGCGGGGUAACUUCCCACUCUGAAGCUGCCCUGGCUCUCCAGCACUCUCAGGUUUACCUCUAUGAUCCUUUGAAGCUCUUUCCUUUUGGGGUCCAGAUUCCCUUUUCCAGCCCAGCACCACCAGUUCUUUCCCCACACCUUUAGAAACAUUCCCUGAGCACUAUUCCUUCAGGCCUCUUAUCUAGUCUUCUAACAUCCCUGAAAUGUGCUUCCUGUCUCCAAGCUUCCAUUGAUCAAUCUGGGAACUUCUAUUCAUCCGUCUUCUUCCAGCUCAUUUGGCCCCUCAGGAAGAGAGGGUGCUUGCUCCCAGGCCCAUGGAUCACCGAGCGCAGGAACCAUACUCUCCUGGCCUCCCCACAGAAUACCCUCUGUGAAACCUCCUACAUCUAUCUGCCCAUCUAUCAGUGCAGUCUGGCCCAGCCCAAAUAGGUUCUCCAGAAACCACUUGUAAGAUAGCAGGGGCUUAGGGGAAAUGCCUCCGUUCCACACUCCUCCACCCCAACUCCCAACUUGCCAGAGUCCAGAACUGAGGAGUGGGAGUGGAACACAGAGGGGGCCCUUGCUGGCUGGCCC
rnacentral:lncRNA from 1 species